CGUGCGCCUGGUAGAAAUUACUUUGAAAGAUUUCCUGAGAUAUACGGACUAUGAUGUUUUAGCUCGAAUAAUGGGUUUAGCGACACUGUUGAUCCAGUGAUCUGGACUUCGUCUUCUUUCUCGUAAUGUGAAGGCUCGGUUUUUUGCCUCUGAAGCGACGAAGGAUGUGUCAAAAAUCAGAAAUAUUGGUAUAUCUGCCCAUAUUGACUCUGGAAAAACCACACUCACAGAGAGACUUUUGUUUUAUACUGGAAGAAUCAGUCAAAUGCAUGAGGAUGCAUCUCACAUGUGGACCUUGUAACAAUUGAGCUCACAGCAAAGUCUCUGUGACUCAGUAGUAGAUCAUCAAAGUGGUGAAUCUGAAGGUACGAGGUAAGGACAAUGUAGGAGCCACUAUGGAUUCCAUGGAUCUGGAAUGACAGCGAGGAAUAACCAUACAGCAACAUAUGUCGAUUGGAAAGAUACAAACAUUAACAUUAUUGAUACACCAGGUACGAGGUAAGGACAAUGUAGGAGCCACUAUGGAUUCCAUGGAUCUGGAACGACAGCGAGGAAUAACCAUACAGUCUGCAGUAACAUACUGUAUGUCAAUUGGAAAGAUACAAACAUCAACAUUAUUGACACACCAGAGCAAAGUUACAACACACUGCAGCCUUCACCCAGUUGCCAAUUGGUUUGGAAUCUGAGGUAAAAGGAGUCAUUGACCUUGUGUGCUGGAAGGCUUAUUACUUUGAGGGAAAUCAUGGGUCCAAAGUGGUAGAAGGUGUCAUCCCUGGAGACAUGGUUAAUGAGUGUACAACAAGAAGACAGGAGCUGAUAGCGGUAAGUGCGUACAGUACAGCUUUACAGACUUCCAUUAUAGGCCAAACGGAGUUCCAACCCAAGCUGCUCGCUUCUCAAACGAUUUCCAACGCGAAAACAGACGAAAUAUUCACUUAUAUUCUCAUACAACAUGGAAGAAAAGCCCUGAUCAGGGAUGACGAGACAUAUUAUUCAAGGAGUAAAGAGCUUGAGUACUACAAAAAAGUCAGCGGUACUCCAGUCAAGCGACGCAGAGAAAUAUUUCUAGGCAUGAUUGAUGAUCAGGAGAAUGUUAAGUCUAUUCUUGUCAUUAGAAAAGCAGGGAUUGGGAAAUACUUGUUUUGCCAGAAGGUGAUUCGCGAUUGGGCCAACAACGAAUUACUUCAAGUGCGAGAAAACAGUGAAAUCCCCGAUUUGAAAUUUGUGUAUCUGCUCUCUUUCCGUCAAUUGAAUUUUCUUGAAAAUAACUGUGUGGCUUUAAGAGAAAUCUCAAACUUUUCCUCGGUACUGGAUGACAAAUGUAACAUUGAUUACUCAACAUUUGACAACUUUAGUCUUGUUCAACCAAUGAGAUUAUUUGAACCAUUCCAACAAGGAUUCUGAUAGGCUCAUUGCA